CCUACGGGAGGCAGCAGUGGGGAAUAUUGCACAAUGGGGGCAACCCUGAUGCAGCGACGUCGCGUGAGUGAUGACGUCUUUAGGUAUGUAAAGCUCUUUCAGCAGGGAAGUAAAUGACGGUACCUGACUAAGAAGCCCCGGCUAACUACGUGCCAGCAGCCGCGGGAAUCCGUAGGGGACAAGCGUUAUCCCGAUGUACUUGGUGUAAAGGGAGGGUAGACGGCGGUGCAAGGCAGGUGGGAAAGCCCGGGGCUCAACCCCGGGACUGCAUUUGGAACUGUGCUGCUAGAGUGGAGGAGAGGUAGGCGGAAUGCGUAGGGUAGCGGUGAAAUGCGUAGAUAUUAGGAGGAACACCAGUGGCGAAGGCGGCCUGCUGGACGAUGACUGACGUUGAGGCUCGAAAGCGUGGGGAGCAAACAGGAUUAGAUACCCGUGUAGUC
rnacentral:rRNA from 1 species